GACAGAGGGGGCAAGCGUUGUUCGGAAUUACUGGGCGUAAAGGGCUCGUAGGCGGCCAACUAAGUCAGACGUGAAAUCCCCAGGCUUAACCUGGGAACUGCGUCUGAUACUGGAUGGCUUGAAUUCGGGAGAGGGAUGCAGAAUUCCAGGUGUAGCGGUGAAAUGCGUAGAUAUCUGGAGGAAUACCGGUGGCGAAGGCGGCAUCCUGGACCGACAUUGACGCUGAGGAGCGAAAGCUAGGGGGAGCAAACGGG
rnacentral:rRNA from 1 species